GGUGGAAUUCAUAGUCGUAGUAGGGGGCCCCUAAGGGGAUUAUUCAGCCGCUAUGUGUCGAAUUCAACCCCUACGCGUUUCAUAGACAAAAGAAACCCCUCAUUUGACAGGAGCUGGCGGCUGACUGCUGAAUUACCGAUAUUUGUCAGCCAAACCAUCCCCUGGCAUUUUUUUUUGUUGUUAUUCGUGAUUUAUUUAUUAGAAAGUGGACGUUCGGAUCGUUAUAAGUGAAGUUAUAAAAAGCGAGUUAUAUCAGUGCCCAAGAUAUAUAUUCGCAAUUGCGUAAACCCAGUAUAAUACUAUGGCGAUAUGGAAUGUACGAAAGAUUCUCAUAUUAGGCAUAAUAUGCCUCUGUUUGAUGAAGAAUGAACACAGAAGACCAAGAGAGGAAUACCAAUACCGCUAGUAUUAUACAUUCUAGCAGCACUUCGAUUCUAUGAAACGGGAUGUUAUCAGACUGUAGGUGCAGUCCAUCAAGCAUUCUAUGAAAUAACAGAAAUGCCAAAAGUCAAGCUGUAUUGAUGUCACGCAUAGGUAUACAUAUAAACAACCCCAGAGGACCCUAUACACAGAUUUAAAGAAACCGGCUAUCAUGGCAGGGAAUAGCAGUGAUGAGCUCUGAGAAUACUGAGAAUACUUUGGUCCUUGAAAAUCUGAGUUUUCAGAUCACAGUAAUUGGAAGACCCUCAUACCUUGAAAAGUCAGCAGCAUUUAAUAUAAAAGUAGUAGGAGUGAGUGCAGUGUAUUGUAAGGUGGUCACUCACUCUGAAGUCCAUAACAAUAGAAAAUAUAUACAAAUCUUAAUUGAAUGAAUGAUGGAAAAUAAAAAUUUAUUGAUUCACAUCUUUAAUAAAGAUAAUUAUUAAAUGUUUACUUCUGCAUUUUUCAUUUAAGU